rnacentral:rRNA from 1 species
AUUGAACGCUGGCGGCCGGCCUAACACAUGCAAGUCGAACGAGUGGCGGACGGGUGAGUCAUGUCUGGGAAACUGCCUGAUGGAGGGGGAUAACUACUGGAAACGGUAGCUAAUACCGCAUACCAUCAGAUGUGCCCAGAUGGGAUUAGAUAGUGGGUGGGGUAACGGCGCACCACGGCGACGAUCCCUAGCUGGUCUGAGAGGAUGACCAGCCACACUGGAACUGAGACACGUGCCAGACUCCUACGGGAGGCAGCAGGGGGGAAUAUUGGACAAUGGGCGAAAGCCUGAUGCAGCCAUGCCGCGUGUAUGAAGAAGGCCUUCGGGUUGUAAAGUACUUGCAGCGGGGAGGCGUUACCCGCAGAAGAAGCACCGGCUAACUCCGUGCCAGCAGCCGCGGUAAUUC